UGCCUAGACGGCGGCUUGAGACAUUACUUGUGUUUGUUUAAGUCGGGCCGGUUUCAAAUUCAGUGUAAUUGGAAACGGCUUUUGCAAAAUCGAAAACAGCCCAACACCUCUCACUUGCUAUCGAUCCCCUAUCUCUGUUCACGGCUCGUCGAAGGUUUUUACCCCACGAGCACAAGCAGCAUUCAGCAGCGCUAGAGAUUUUCGCCUUCACCGGCAGCGCCGGCUAUCUGGUUCCGUCAUUAGCAGCGGUGCGGGGAUUCCUCUCUGCCAUGAGCAGCAGCGCCGCCGAUCUCCCGUUGCGGCCGUCACGCAACAACGUCUCCGACGUCACCGAUUUCCCGUCACAACUGCGAGUAACAGCACCGUCGUGAGAGGAUUUUCCUUCGCAUCUGUCAUCCAGCAUUUCUACAAGGCGGCGGCAGUAGGCUACCCAUUUUCUUUCCCUUGCCUGAACGAAACUCAUAGUUGUCCCUGGCGAUCGAAAAUUUGGUAGACGAGACGUGCCUCUUU
rnacentral:lncRNA from 1 species